UACGUAGGGUGCAAGCGUUGUCCGGAAUUAUUGGGCGUAAAGAGCUCAUAGGCGGUCUGUCACGUCGGCUGUGAAAACCUGGGGCUCAACCCCGGGCCUGCAGCCGAUACGGGCAGACUAGAAUUCGGUAGGGGAGACUGGAAUUCCUGGUGUAGCGGUGAAAUGCGCAGAUAUCAGGAGGAACACCGGUGGCGAAGGCGGGUCUCUGGGCCGAUAUUGACGCUGAGGAGCGAAAGCGUGGGGAGCGAACAGG
rnacentral:rRNA from 1 species